AUUGAACGCUGGCGGAAUGCUUUACACAUGCAAGUCGAACGGCAGCACGGACUUCGGUCUGGUGGCGAGUGGCGAACGGGUGAGUAAUACAUCGGAACGUGCCCAGUCGUGGGGGAUAACGUAGCGAAAGCUACGCUAAUACCGCAUACGAUCUAAGGAUGAAAGCGGGGGAUCGCAAGACCUCGCGCGAUUGGAGCGGCCGAUGGCAGAUUAGGUAGUUGGUGGGGUAAAGGCUCACCAAGCUGACGAUCUAUAGCUGGUCUGAGAGGAUGAUCAGCCACACUGGGACUGAGACACGGCCCAGACUCCUACGGGAGGCAGCAGUGGGGAAUUUUGGACAAUGGGCGCAAGCCUGAUCCAGCCAUUCCGCGUGCAGGACGAAGGCCUUCGGGUUGUAAACUGCUUUUGUACAGAACGAAAAGCUCUGAGUUAAUACCUCGGGGUCAUGACGGUACUGUAAGAAUAAGCACCGGCUAACUACGUG
rnacentral:rRNA from 1 species